GACGAACGCUGGCGUCGUGCUUAACACAUGCAAGUCGAACGAUGAAGCUGGAGCUUGCUCCGGUGGAUUAGUGGCGAACGGGUGAGUAACACGUGAGCAAUCUGCCCUUGACUCUGGGAUAACUGCGGGAAACUGUAGCUAAUACCGGAUAUGAGGCUCGAAGGCAUCUUCGGGUCUGGAAAGAAUUUCGGUCAAGGAUGAGCUCGCGGCCUAUCAGCUUGUUGGUGAGAUAAUGGCUCACCCAGGCGACGACGGGUAGCCGGCCUGAGAGGGUGACCGGCCAGACUGGGACUGAGACACGGCCCAGACUCCUACGGGAGGCAGGAGUGGGGAAUAUUGCACAAUGGGCGAAAGCCUGAUGCAGCAACGCCGCGUGAGGGAUGAAGGCCUUCGGGUUGUAAACCUCUUUGAGCAGGGAAGAAGCGAAAGUGACGGUACCUGCAGAAAAAGCACCGGCUAACUACGUGCCAGCCGCCGCCGUAA
rnacentral:rRNA from 1 species